AGCAGGGUAAUUCAGUCUGGUAGAAGCCGGGUCUCAUAAGCCCGAAGUCGUUGGUUCGAAUCCAGCCCCUGCCU
rnacentral:tRNA from 1 species